ACAGCAGUAGCCACGGGAACACGUAGGGUGCAAGCGUUAAUCGGAAUUACUGGGCGUAAAGCGUGCGCAGGCGGUUAUAUAAGACAGAUGUGAAAUCCCCGGGCUCAACCUGGGAACUGCAUUUGUGACUGUAUAGCUAGAGUACGGCAGAGGGGGAUGGAAUUCCGCGUGUAGCAGUGAAAUGCGUAGAUAUGCGGAGGAACACCGAUGGCGAAGGCAAUCCCCUGGGCCUGUACUGACGCUCAUGCACGAAAGCGUGGGGAGCAAACAGGAUUAGAUACCCCCGUAGUCCCUGUCUCUUAUAC
rnacentral:rRNA from 1 species